AUGAGGAACUCCGCCACCGUGCCCACGGUGGUCUACGAGGACCCCUACGCCGAGUACGCCGAGGGCGCGGCCAGCUACGGCUACGGGCCCGCGUACACGUACGGCCCCUACGGCGAGCCGGUCGCGGAGGAGGCGAGGCCGCGCCACGCGCCGCCCACGCCGCCGCCCCCAGAGGCCUCGCCGUGGGACUUCUUAGACAUCUUCACGCCCACGCCCUAUGACCAGUUCCCGGAGGACUACCCGCGCGGCAUGCCCGGCGAGGCCGCCGACGGGAAUCGGAAUCUGCCCACCAGCAGCCCCAAUUACGCCAAUUACGCCGAGCUGAGGAGGAUGGAGGGGAUCCCGGAGCUUGAGGACGAGGCUGAGCUGGGGCCAGCAAAACCAUCAACUUCAGCCGUGGUUGAAGAUCAGAGUGUGAAGGGGAAGAGACCAGCUCCUGGUCCUACCACCAAUGCUGGGCCCAAGGGCGAGUCCUCUGAGGUGAAGCCAAAGAGCAAGGGAUCAUCUGGUGCCAAUGCCGAGGCGGAUAAGCCGCUGUCAAGGAACGAUUCGGUGCCGAGCAAUGCCGGCUCCAGCUCGAACAGCAAGAAAGGGGGCAGGACCGAUGCAGUGAGCUUGAAGGGUGCUAACUUUGGUGACAUUGCUGGUGGCAACUCCUCCAAUAAGAAGAAGAAGACGGAUGUGCCAUUUGGUGAGAAUGGUGGCGACAUUGUUGGCGGCAGCUCCAAUGGGAAGAAGAAGGGUGCUGCGACUGAUGAGGCCGUGUCGAUUGUCGGUGCAGAUGGCGCUGGGGGAAGCCACGGCAAGUCAGUGCAGUCGGCCAUGGCAUUGAACAGCGAGUCCUUCUCGCCAUUGCACAAUGGGGAGAGAGAUGUCGUGGAGGCGAUGGAGGAGGUCAAGGAGCGAUUCGAGGAGGCGCUGCAUUGCGGCGAUGAGGUCUCCAGGAUGCUCGAGGUGGGGAAGGUGCCUCACCGGACGGCGCCUAAAGUUCUUAGAUAUUUCUCUUCCAGGGUGAUGGAGCCUAUGUCGCUUAGUGUGCCGUCCUCUUCUUACUGCGUUCCAAAGCGGGAAAGGUGCUCAAGGUUGCCGAGCGCUUCAGCUUCAUCGGCCAAUGGUAGAGAAAAUCGCAACGGAAGCCUCUGUUCAACCCUGGAGAAGCUCUGUGUAUGGGAAAAGAAGCUAUAUCAGGAGGUUAAGGAUGAAGAGAAGCUGAGGGCUCUGUAUGAAAAGAAGUACAACAGGCUGAAGUCACUAGACGAACAAGGGGCAGAGCCGGAUGCGAUAGAGACAGCCAGAUCGUCGGUGCGGGACUUGCGGUCGAAGAUCACCAUCAACAUCAAAACAGCCAAGGCCUUCUCGUCGAAGAUCGAGAAGAUUCGGGACGAGGAACUGUACCCUCAACUUGUUGAUCUUAUUCAAGGAUUGCGAAGGAUGUGGAAGGCAGUUCUGGAAUGCCAUGAGAAGCAGCUGUCGGCCAUAAGGGACAGCAGGCUGCACCUGCUCAAGGCGAGGACCGUGAGCCAGUCCGCCGCCGCCACAUUGGCCACGCUGGAGCUGGAGAGGGAGCUCACGAAAUGGUACCGCUGCUUCAACAAGUGGACCAGCUCGCAGAGGUCUUAUGUGGAGGCACUGAAUGGAUGGCUGAGGAGAUGGUUCCCCGAGGUGCCGGACGAGCAAGACGCGCCAGACGGCGCCCCGCCUUUCUCCCCGGGCAAGCUCGGCGCGCGGCCGAUAUUCGUCGUGUCGAACGACUGGUUCCGGGCCAUCGAUCUGGUGCCCAAGAGCGACGCGCUGAAGUCGAUCGACUACUUCUACAAGCUAGUCCACGAGCUCAGGAAGAGGCAGGAGGACGAGGACCGGCAGAAGAGGAAGGUCGACCACGCCUCCAGGGACUACAACAAAAGGCGGGAGGCCCUGCAGCGAGAGCUCGGCCCGGGCACCGGCACCGACAUGGUCGCGCUCCCGGAGAACAGUGGUGAUCACACCGUUGAUCUGCACAAGAUGAGGAGGAAACUGGACAACGAGAUGGCCAAGCACGACGAGGUGGUGAGGCAUGUCCAUUUUGCGGCCUCGGCCACUCUGCCGGUCGGCUUCGUCCCCGCGCUGGAGCAGAUCGUCGGCUUCUUCCAUGGCAACCUGCAGGUCUACGCGCGCAUCAGGACCAAUGGCGCUGGAGCUCGCGGGCCGCCUACAGAUGAUGGAUCUGAAUCCGAGCUCCCUUGA
rnacentral:rRNA from 1 species